rnacentral:rRNA from 1 species
AUUGAACGCUGGCGGCGUGCCUAAUACAUGCAAGUCGAACGAAGUGGCUCACGGGUGAGUAAUAUAUAGUUAAUCUUACCUACACAGAGGAACAACAGUUGGAAACGGCUGCUAAUACCACAUAGUGUAGGAUGAGACUAUAUCGUAUCAGCUAGUUGGUAAGGUAAUGGCUUACAAAGGCUAUGACGCGUAACUGGUCUGAGAGGAUGAUCAGUCACAUUGGAACUGAGACACGGUACAAACGCCUACGGGAGGCAGCAGUAAGGAAUAUUGCGCAAUGGGGGAAACCCUGAAGUAGCAACGCCGCGUGGAGGAUGAAACUUUUCGGAGCGUAAACUCCUUUUAUCAGGAAAGCGGUACCUGAUGAAUAAGCACCGGCUAACUCCGUGCCAGCAGCCGCGGUAAUUC